rnacentral:lncRNA from 1 species
GUAUUUUAAAAUAUCUUUGAAUUAAGGUGGUAAUUUUUUAGAUGACUCAUGUUCCAAAUAUUAAUUCAGCACAACUGUUAUAUGAAUUGGACUGAUAGUUUAUAACACAGUUAAUAAUUUUAUUGGUUCAUACUACAAAAUUAAUUGGAGUUGCGAGUAAUUAGUACUAUAAACAUUUUUAAAAAAUUAUUAAAAUGAUAUUAAAGCCAUGAAUAAUAGCACUGAGUUUAUAUUUAAGAAAUUCAUUCUCUUUCAAUAAGAAUACAUAUCUUUAAAAAUAUUAGUUAGAGUAGAUUUUUAAAUUUAUAAAUAAAUUGUGGAGAUCACUUUGGCUAAGUUUGUGGACACGCAAAUCAAGGUGAAAUAAAGCAAGAACGAAGCGCCGCGUAUUUCAAAAACAACAGGAAAUGCGACAAAAUGGCUUUACUAUAUGACCGUGAGUUUAGAUGGGAAUGGGAAUCUUUGAUGAGAUGACGAUAGUGGGAUGUGUUUUGUCUCGCGAAAGGCUGGCUGAGGCGACGAUGAUUCUUCUUAUCGUCUCGGGUUUUGAUGCGUUGUUGAUUUGUGAAAUGCGAGAGAGUGCCACGAUCAUAGCAGCUUGACAUGUGCCACAUUCGAGCUUUGCAUGGUGGCAUGCAAACGCUUGCUCAAUCUAUAUUUAUAUGAGAGCUGCUACCUUACAUGUAAUGUAAGGUAUAGUCUCUCACAAACUCAGUUGUGGGUUUCACUUGGACCCACCAGCCUUGUGAGAGACAAUACCUUACAUUACAUAUAAGGUAGCAAAAAUCUAUUUAUAUUAUUGUUGCCAUGUAAUACUAUAAAAUUUAAAACGUAAAGGUUUGUUUUCAACUUUUUGCUGCAUAGUAAUCACAUGGAGUAUGUAAAACCCCGAUAUCUAAGCUUGAAAAUCUUAACCAAUAGAAUUUGAAAAGAAUUUAGAUCUAUUAUAAAUAAAUAUAGGUAAUGAAAAUUUUAAAAUUAACAAUUUAAUUAAUUUUAAGAAAUAUUAUUUAUCUUUAUUGUUUAUAGUUACUGUUUACAGCUACUACUGUUUAUCCGUACUAAAAAUAUUAAUUUUCUAAAAACACAAUAAAUUACAGAAAUUAAAUGACACGAAGAUGUUCACGUGGUUCAGAUUAACCAUUCCUACAUCCAUGAGGGCGCGCUCAGAUGAAAAGUAAUUCACUAAGUUGAGAUGCUACAACCUAUGAACUUACCAAACUUAAGGCUCUCACUUACAGUUUAUUAUCAUACAGUUUACUCAACUUUAGUCUGAGUCUGCUUCUCUUGAAUAAUUGCUACCCCUCUUGAUCCACAAUCCUCAAGGCACUUCGCAAAGUGAUCAAUAACAAUUCUUCAAUUCUUCAAUGUCUAGUGAUCCAAGAUCUACAUAACUCUUCACAAAGAUGAAAAGAAGAUAAGAAAACAAAUCAACAUAACAUUAUAUGCCAAAUCCAGAUUCUCUAGGGAGAAGGCCGAAUUUUGUUUCUCUGCUUUAUGCUCUGUGUUGCGUCUUCAAUUGUGAAAUACGUCUCUCUUUAUAUAGGCACUAAAGUUUCACAAAAAUAGCAAGUCUUAAAAGACUUGCAUUCUUUCCAAAUAAAAAUUUCUUUCCUCUUAUAAUUCCUAUGAAUCUAAAUAGGAAUAAAUCUAAUCUUUUUGUCUUACUUAUCUCCCAAGAAAUAUCUAGAGCAUUUAAUAAACUUUCUGUUUAAACCAACUUCUUACUCUAAAUAGAUCUUAUGCAUCAAUUAUAGAAUCACAUUAUUAAUUGACUUGCUAAAUUAGACAUCUAAUUAAAUUAGGAAAUAAAUAUUCCUAAUAAAUUGGAAUCUCACUAAAUUAGAGAAUUAAUAAAUUAAACCCUAUUACAAGAUAUGUAAUAAAUAAAAUUCUAAUUUAACUAGACUUGCCAUAAGAUGCCAACUUUAUAAAUAAUGAACUUAACCAAUGCCAAUAAGUUUGUCUUAAUUAUGAAUGAACACGCGGCCAAAAUUAUAGGCUUGAUCAAAUAGGGAAUUAGCCAAAAAGAAGGAAAAAAUGACUAAUUAUGGAAAAGAAAAGAAAGCGAGAAAAUAGAUGUGAUUUUGAGAUAUGGUAGAUGUGUUCAAAAAAAAUUUGAGGCCAUUAAUAUUCAUUUUUAUAUGUUAAGGAUAUUUUGAGAAUGUGUUUCGCAUACCGCAUAAAUGAGAUUGCAUUAGUUAAUGUAAUGCAACUUUAUAUUUGGUGAAUUUUAAAAGUGCAUUAUGGUGCUUAAAAGCACCAUAAUCUAGAUUUUACACCACCAAGCAAACUUGUGAACUUAACUGUCUUACUCUCUCUUUUUUUUCUUGGGUUUUGUACAUUACUAAUUAUAACAUAAAUUAAAUUUAGGAUAUUUAGUUAAACAUUAUUUAUGUGACCAGUAAAUGUUAUCACCAGUAACAGUCCGCCGUUGCUACUACCAAUUGUCCCGCAUGUCAAUUAAGCUAAAACUUUGUUACCAUUUGAAUCCUAAUCGCUGAAACUAUGCUACUAUUACUAGCAAACGGAAUUUAUGUCACUGUAUAUUUAGAAUCAAAUUUUGGAUCUUAAGACUUUAACUAUAGAUCUCCAGUGAACUUUUAUCCAGUCAUAAUUUUAUCAUUGUAUAGUUCCGACAACGAGAAUUCUAAUAAUACAAAAUCUAAGUUGAAAUGACACUAGAAUAUGGCGACAGAUGAUGGUUGAUAGUCGCCACUAUUUUUAAUAAAUUUAAUAUAAAUACUAGUUUAAUAACAACUAUUAUAAAGAUAUCAAAAUAUUGAUAAAUUUAAAUAAAAUGAAUUUAAUACAUUACUAAACAUGGUACUGUAUUAUAAUUUAAUGCAAUAUAACUUAAUGCAAUUCAUUAAUAUAAUGUAAUUGAAUACGAUACUAUAUAUCCAAUGAAUACAUAAUAGUUGCUCGAUGCGUUUAAAAUUUUUAAACUUUAACAUGGCCGCUGCCAUUUGGGAUUUAAACUUGAUUGAAAAUUAAGCACACAUACACAACAUAUUGGCGGAAGCUGGAUCCUGCUCCCAACUUUUAAUAACGACUGAAUUACUGAUUCUAAGUCAUGCAUGCUCUUGGGCUUUGGCUAGCUGGGUGGGGACUUUUAGACAAAACACAAUAUAUGAGUCCAAGGGAAGGCAACAUCAUUUUCAUGGCAAUAAUAAUACUAAUUCUGUAUUUGUUUGUUUCUAAAUUUAUGACAUUAUAUUCAAACAAAAUUUUAUGACAUUGGUGAAGAAUAUAGUAUAAGUUGUAACAAAGCGAUAUAACUGUUAACGGUAAAAUUUGAACAAGAAAUAUCCACGGCAUCCACCUAACUUUUAAGCCCUUGAAAAUAGUGAAGGAGGAGUUGAUGAAUGAGAGUGAAAAGGGAAGAUCCCAAAAAUCAGUUUCAAACAUCCAAAUCACUUGAGAAUUAUAGAAAAUGUCUUCUACACCACAUCAAACCCGCCAUGUGUCAAUAUAGGACAACAAAAAUAGUAAUAGCUCGACAAUAACUCCAAGACACAUCAUCAUGGCAUAAUCCCCAACUGGGUUGUGUCUAAAAUACCUUAUUACAGACCACAAGAGUAAAAUCAAACACCUUCUAACCCAAUUGGUUCAUUUGAAAUGAGCUAAUCAGGAUUGGGGACUUAUUACUAGCAAGGAUAGUCCCUUAAAGGAUAGCUAUCUAAUCCAAGUAAGCUCAAGAGCCUCAACAAGAAAGGCUAAAUUACCCUAAGACUCGUAUCUGAAGAGAGAAACAACCAACAGUGUCUUGCCGCGUGUCCAAAAAGACACAGAGAUGCCCUCAGGGGCACUCCAUCUUAUAAGGUCAAGUCAGUCUCACAAAGGGAGUAAUUCUCUUACUCACACAGACAAUCAAUUUUUUCUCCUAUUCUAGAGCUAACUUAUAAAUUACCCAUCACCUUCUUUAGCCUCUAGCUAACUUGAUCAUUUGGAGUGCCAUUGCUGACCAUUGCCGAUGUCGCCUCUAAUGGCCGUUUUCUUUGAUUUCAGGUUUGUCUCAGUCGCGACCUUCCUUAGAAAUCUAUUUAAGGGCAAGUUAGUCUCCAGAAUUGCCAAAAGCCACCACCACAGAGAAGAUGAUCUCAUAUUAUUUUAGGUUGAACCAAAAUAGGACCAACACAACAACUUAUUUUCUUUUUUCUUUUUUUAAAAUAGGUUACAACAAAUUAUAUAACAAAAUUAAAAUACUUUAAGUAGUUAUAAACAACUUGCAAUAAAAUAGAGUACAACUUAGUCUUUUUAUAUAUUUGUCAAAAUU